UGCAGAUGGGCGCCCAGGACAGCUGCGCUUAGUUCAAGCCUCGGCAACGUGACGCGCUUCAGUGGUGCCACUCGAGACUUCGAAGCUAAUAGGCUGAUGCGGACUUCUCCCGCCGCGUUUUCACAACGAGCGUAGACACAUGCUCCGUAGGCGGCCUCCGAAGCAUCGGUAAAUGUGUGGAAUUCUACUGUUGCAUCUGAUGUGAUUAGGAACAGGUUCAUCCCAGCCGGAUUUGAGUAGCCAUAGCUCCUGCAUCAGCAUCUUAGCACGCACGAUCACCGGUGCUAUCAAUCCGAGCGGAUCGUACAUUUUGGCAAUGCUCGACAAAAUAGAUCGCUUGGUCGACGUGGCUUCAUCAGCCUCAGUGUUGGAUUCAAAACACAGCUCAUCCGAUUCAGGCUUCCACGAGAUGCCGAGUGCUUUGACCGUCUCGUUGGGUAUAAAAUGCAGCGAUGAGUGUGUGCCGAUAUACUCGGUGCUUAAGCCGGAGAGCACGCUCAGAUUGUUUGAGGUCCACUUGCGCAACUCAAACCCACCUUUGGCAAGUAGCGCUGAUAACUCCUUACGCAGCUGAACAGCUUCGCGAACGUUAUUGGCACCACCAAUGAAGUCGUCCACGUAAAAGUUUCGUUUCAGGGCUGUAGGUGCAAGCGCAUACUCAGUCCCUUCAUCAUCUGCUAGUUGUAUAAGUGUGCGUGUAGCCAGAAACGAGGAAGGUGCUAGUCCGUAUGUAACGGUGUUGAGCUCAUAUACUUGGAUCGGAGCUUGCGGCGAAAAUCGAAAAAAUAUGCGCACCAAUCGACGAUCAUCAGAAUGCAGCAAUAUUUGUCGGUACAUUUUAGCUAUAUCUCCCACAAGUGCUAUUUGGUAGAUCCGUCGAACACGACCCUUACUUUCGUGGUGGUACUGGAGGCUUUAAAUACGGGAUGGUGCGGUAGGUAGUACGCCCGUUCAUCCCCACUAUCUUUGUUCAUGAGCGACAUGUGCCCCAGCUCCAAAUACUCCUUCAUGAAGGCAUGAUAGUCUUCCUUGAGCUGUGGGUUGCGUUCUAGCCUCCUCUCCAGCAGCUCGAAGCGUCUCAAAGCGGUAGUUUUAGACAGGCCAAGCUUUUCCGUGAAGUCGGUCUGUUUGGGCAAUCGUACAAUAUAUCGACCCGACUCGUCGCGCUGAGUGGUUUCUUUAUACAAUGUUUCGCAUCGCCGCUCAUCAGGUGAGUACGAAUCAUUGACGCUUAACUCUUCCAGCUUCCAAAAGCGUUCGAGAGACUCCUCCAGGGAUGCCAUGCAGACGAUUGUGGACGCGGCGGUGCAAUCGGUCGGAGAUGCAGGAUUCUGAGGAAAGGUAGGACCAAUCAUGACCCACCCAAACACGCUGUUCAGCAUAGUUGGAAGGUUC